AACAAAGAUGGGGUACGAGGUCAACAGAAUAUACUGACCCAGGCUUAAGCAAUCGAGUUCUGCGAAGCUUCACAACUUGAAAGCAGUAAAAUGAUUUGAUUUCAUUUAUUUGAUGAUAUCGUAAAUGUCGGCAACAUUCGUGACCACCCUUUUAGCAACAUUUGAUUGUAUAUUGAGUAUAAAUAAAUGACGGGAAGAGAUGAGCAAAUAACAACACACGCACACAACGACACGCAAUUUGCUUGCUCAAUGAGCAAAGUAGUGACACGACAUUUUGUACGAUGUGAACAUAAGUGUUCAGGAAACGAAAGCAAUAAAUUGAAGGAAACACUCAAAUUCCAAAAAAGAAAGAAUCAAUCUCAAUUGUAGGGAGAGUUGCACAACCACUACAGCCUUCGUGAUGGCUUCAAGCCACCUCGUUCCCUUGCUGGACCAUGCGACAUAGUGUUCCCGCUCUGUGGCCUUAAAAAUCCAGCCCGUUGAAUUCAAGUUGAGCUUCAGCUUGAAUUUAACUUUUCGUCUGGCAACAUCAGUCGAUGACGCCAUCAUUCACGUGAUCUGAUAACUCAGUCUCUUCCCUCGCCGCCGUGCUGCAGGUUCUCGGAGCGCUUCGCCGCAGUCUUCGCGCAAUGUUCAUGACUUUCCCGACUAUCCAGAGACGAGAACAUUCCGGCGAGCCGCGCCUGCUACACGACGUCCAAGCACAAAGCCAAGUUCCGGACCAGGUUCGGAACGUACAUCAGAAAGCGGGUGUGAACCUCCGAAAACGACCUGGUUGCGAAGCAGGAGUGUGUGGAGUUGGGUUCUCGAGCCGUUUUCCGUGUGAGUCCCGGCGCCCCCAGACGUCCUCGUAUCGCCAACUGAAGCAGGGCAAAGCUUCACACGGACUAAAAGAACAGACUAGGACACAGGAGCCUGGAAGCGAACCGCAGUACUCCAUUGGCCAGCGUCGGCUCAUCGGCAUCCAACGUGGUCCCAUGAAGGAACAUGAAGAUGAUAACAUCUAGGCCGAUUUCAGAAGCAGCAAUUGAAGUUGGAGGUAAGGCACCAAGGCAACCAAUAGGUUUCCGCCCUCGAGGCCGCAAAUCUUCCAUCAAUGGAUGAUUAACCUCAAAAGCGACAAAUCGAAACCAACUCCAGGCAGUAGGCUUUGCAGCGACCAUGAACCACACAUGGCUAUGAAAUAAAUAAACGCACUGUU
rnacentral:misc_RNA from 1 species